GAUGAACGCUAGCGGCAGGCCUAAUACAUGCAAGUCGGACGGGAUUGAGGAGCUUGCUUCUCAUGAGAGUGGCGCACGGGUGCGUGACACGUAUGUAACCUACCUUAAUCAGGGGGAUAGCCUCUCGAAAGAGAGAUUAACACCGCAUAACAUGUUGAGAUAGCAUUAUUUGAUCAUCAAAUAUUUAUUGGAUUAAAAUGGGCAUGCGAGACAUUCGAUAGUUGGCGGGGUAACGGCCCACCAAGGCGACGAUGUGUAGGGGAUCUGAGAGGGUGGCCCCCCAGACUGGUACUAAGACACGGACCUGACUCCUAUGGGAGGCAGCAGUAAGAAAUAUUGGUCAAUGGGGGCAAGCCUGAACCAGCCAUGCCGCGUGCAGGAAGACGGCCCUACGGGUUGUAAACUGCUUUUGUACGGGAAUAAACCUUGAUACGUGUAUCAAGCUGAAUGUACUGUAAGAAUAAGGAUCGGCUAACUCCGUGCCAGCCGCCGCAGUAA
rnacentral:rRNA from 1 species